rnacentral:lncRNA from 1 species
UGCUCGGGCUGGCCCAUCCCUAAACCUCCUCCAGUUCCUUUUUGGCCUGUCUUGGAUCCCAGUUCACAGGAGGACUCAGCCACAGUCCAGGAUCGCUGGUGUCCUUCUGCCAAGGCCAGUCCAGCUCUCCUGUGAUUGUUCUGCGGACCUCAAGGCAAAAUUUCCACCUGGAGGGCUCUCUGUCAGGGAAAACCUGCGCCUCUGUGCUCCUUGAUUUCACUUCUAAUUCAUCUUCUCCCGAUCUCUGCUCCUGCUGGGCCUGCAGUCCCCUGAAAUACUCUCGAGGGGACGCACUUCACCCCUCACACAGCAGCCAUUCCGUAUCAGCUGCCCCACCAGGGUCACAAACACACAAUGGAGGGUCAGUGUGCCUGCAGGGUGUCCAGUCCUGGUCCUGGAGGGUCAGUGUGUCUGCAGGGUGUCCAGUCCUGGUCCU